rnacentral:rRNA from 1 species
UAGGGAAUAUUAGUAAUGGGCGAAAGCCUGAACUAGCAACGCCGCGUGUGCGAAGAAGGCCUUCGGGUUGUAAAGCACUUUUUGAGAGGAUGAGGAAGGACGGUACUCUCAGAAUAAGUCUCGGCUAACUACGCGCCAGCAGCCGCGGUAACACGUAGGAGGCGAACGUUAUCCGGAUUUACUGGGCGUAAAGCGCGUGUAGGUGGUUUGGUAAGUAGGGCGUGAAAGCUCCUGGCUCAACUGGGGGAGGUCGUUCAAAACUGCCGAGCUAGAGUGCGGGAGAGGGAGGUGGAAUUCCGGGUGUAGUGGUGAAAUGCGUAGAUAUCCGGAGGAACACCAGUGGCGAAAGCGGCCUCCUGGUCCGCAACUGACGCUCAGACGCGAAAGCUAGGGUAGCAAACGG